UGGCUGCGGUAUGUUAUGUGUCAUGUCCGAUGUUCCGCUUGGUGCGUGUUGAUAAUAGCAACGGCGUGUCUCUUGCCCUGUGUGUGUGGUGCCCUGGUUGCGCUGUUUAAGUGGAUAUUACGACUGCUCACCCUCAGUUGCCGGCGGCUGAUAAGGCUGUGCUGAACCCAUGCCUGUAGCAGGUUAUGUUUAUCAUACCAUUGGUUGGAGCUGGGGUCCCAACGGGUGGAUGGAACUUUCCGGUGGUGGUUUUCCUUUUUCAUUGUGUGCUGUUUAACACGAAGUGUGUGAUUUAUUUCAUUUGAGUGCACAGUGGUGUGUGUGUGCGUGCGUGUGUGUCUAUGUGGACCCAAGUCGAGAUUUAGAACCCCUCUAUCCUGUUGGGAACCUCAGCCCUGCUUAAUUUAUUUUUCUUUAACUUUCAGUUUUGUGUGUUUGCAGUGUGGUUGCCGUGAAUUGAAGUAGAGUGAUAACUUGUAUGAUUAACUGCUUAUUUUAAUGAGAUUAAGUAAUAAAACUAUUUUUGUAUUGUACUCACGUCUCUCUACUCUUUCUUUGUUUAAACGAGGAGUGAACCUGUGUGCUUUCCCACCCUUCUGGGUGUUAUUAGCAUUUCCCCUGGUGCAAGUCCUGGGGUGGCGUAGUUGGAGUUCAAAUAUUAA